GGUGCGCGAGAGGUGGCACGGUCGACACGUGACCAGACUACACCAAUAGGGUAGCAGCUUUUGGUAAACAGAAAAGCAAGAUGGCUGCCUAAAGAGUUUCAUCUAGCAGUACUGAAGAAGAGGAAAACUCAAACAAAAAUGUGUAAACAAACGAAAUCUUCUGGACAUAAACAGUGCUAUAUGCACAUAGCCUCUGCGAAGCACAAAAAAAUUCAGGAUUUCACUCUCGCACGGUGGAAUAUGUACAAGAAGAGUCUACAACGGUGGCUCGGGUUGAGUUUCGAUACGUAGUUGAAAACUACAAACACUGCCUGGAUUUGGAGUUUGAAAGCAUUCCUGAGAACGCUGCUUUUCAUCCCACAUGCUACCGGAGGUUUAUUGACAAGAGUGCAAUUGCAAAAGUUAAAAGGGGCCUUGGACGUAAGAGAAAGAGGGGAGAGGAUACAGAAAACCGCUCAAGAAGUGAAACCAUCCCAUCAACAUCGAGCAGGACGACACCGAGUCUUACAAAGAAACUAAGAUCCAGGUCAGGCCUGCCCAUCGUGAGCUCUGGCCUCGUCCUUCCAGCCCUGUGCAUAAUAUGGAAGAAAAAGGGAAGCAGACAAAGCAGGCAGAUGACAACAGGAAGCUCUGUCAAAAGCAGAAACAUUAACAGCAGGUAAGCAAAAACGCCCCCGCCCCCAUUAGAAUGCUAUGCUAUUAAAGGAUAGCAUAGCAUUCUAAUCCACAUGAAAGAAGAAGACUGUGUGGCUCUGGAGGUGCAGUACCACAAGAGCUUUCACCUACAGUACACCAGGUUUUUGAGUGAGCCUGCCAGACCAAAGAAAAAACAUUUUAGGGAUGAGACAACAUUUGAUAUCAGCUAUAAGAUGUUCUGUGAGAGGAUCACCCGUCAAAGGCUGCUUAUAAACCAGGAGGUGCUGAGAAUGGGCCAACUGAGGAAGACGUGAAGGUCUUGAUGCUUCAAACUACAGGGAUGGGCAACAGGACACACAUCAUUGACAUUACCAAGGUGUCAUCAGCUCUCGCAACCAGUGUGUUCAGCCUUGAACCUUGAGCCACAAGUCCCUUUUAUGGUAAAGGCAAAAGAAAGACAUUUUUUGUAGCAUGUCAGCGGGAAGAGUACCUCAAGGCUUUUAAAAAUCUGGGUGCUAACUUUAACUUGGACCACUCAACAUUUGCACUACUUUGCAAAUAUGUAUGCCACCUGUAUGAUCAGC